AUGACCUCCUCCUUGGCUGAAGAUUCUGCCUUUAUUGGCUCGAAUGUCAAUGUGUUCAACGUUCAGAGAUGCCCCAAACCUCCUUGUGUGCAAAAGCAGGCACUGGAAGAAUACCAACAGAUGUAAGAAGAAUCUCAGUGAGGUAUACUGAUAAAGGAGCGGAGUCUGACAACUGUAUGGUUUUGGAGCACAGGAGUGAAAUCUCUCUGGAAGUCUUGGAAACACCAUGCAUUUCACAACAGAAUUUGCACGGCUUCAUGCAAACGGAAAACGGGCUCACAGAGAAAGAUGUCUGCCCUCAUAGAGCCUGUGCAGAAGAAGGGACAGAAGAAAAAUGAUGCCACAGAAUGAUGGCUCUCAUAUCACUGAACAUACGAAGUCUGAUUUGAUUAAAUUGGAUGCAUAGAAAUGAAAGAGAUAAUUUAACCCUUACGGUGGCAGUUGAAGUGUGCAGUUUUGGUAGAUGCCAGUGUCUGUCUUAGAAACAAUAGACCUGGUCCUGAUCCAGUGGAAGACUCCUGGAGCCUUGCCAUCAGCUGCACAGGGAUCAGAAUCGAGCUCAGCGUCCUGUUUUAGCAAGAGUGCAGUUCAAGGGGAGGAUACUGACAAACUGCUUGAUAUUGUCCCAUUCUACGAAAUUAGAAUAUUUGUCAAUAACUUAAUACUGAAUCCAAUUGGCAUCAGCUAAUUUCUUGGGCAAGCCUGUUACAAUAUUCAGUAUCACUAUUGGAUUUCAAAGGUGUGUUUGCUCAAUUAUUCUUUUCAUAAAAUCCCUUAAUAAGGAAGUCUGCUCUCCAUCUGGUGCUGAUCUUACUUAAGUUACAGUGAGAUUGGCUGCUAGUUCAUUUGUGUACAGAAUAAGUAUAAAAAUUGCAAAUCUGUUAAUAGUGAUAAGUCCAAAAUAUACUUGUAGAUUCUUGAGAAAGUAAACUAUGAACCUUUCAUCUUAAGACACGAGCUCUUUGUAAGAUGAAAAAUUAUCUCACACAUCUAUGGUGCUGCAAUGUCAAGUAGUGAUGCUUGUUUUUUGCAGAUUCCUUUCCUGUUAACUCUUGUUCCAAAUACAGUACUAUAAUACUUGUCAUAAAACUGGUUACACUUAUGACUUUAAAGAUUCUGUUCUAUCCUUAAGGCUGCAUCAGUUACUUUAAGUGCUUUUCAGUGAUGCACUGAGCAAGAAACUAGUAUCUUUCUGUGUUGCUUUCAGUGCCCAACAACAUUUAUAUCCAAUGGUGGGCAUCCAUUUACCGUGAAGCUGCAGUUGCAGGGAAUGCAGUGUACAGACAUCAGGUGAUUUGAUCAAGGCUAUCCAGAAAUAAAUCGUCAUUGUAUAUAGUUUAGGAUUUAGUU
rnacentral:lncRNA from 1 species